ACUCAAAUGAAUAGACGGGGACCCGCACAAGCGGUGGAUGAUGUGGUUUAAUUCGAUGCAACGCGAAAAACCUUACCUACCCUUGACAUGUCUGGAAUCUUUUAGAGAUAGAAGAGUGCCCGAAAGGGAGCCAGAACACAGGUGCUGCAUGGCUGUCGUCAGCUCGUGUCGUGAGAUGUUGGGUUAAGUCCCGCAACGAGCGCAACCCUUGUCAUUAGUUGCUACAUUCAGUUGGGCACUCUAAUGAGACUGCCGGUGACAAACCGGAGGAAGGUGGGGAUGACGUCAAGUCCUCAUGGCCCUUAUGGGUAGGGCUACACACGUCAUACAAUGGCCGGUACAAAGGGUUGCCAACCCGCGAGGGGGAGCUAAUCCCAUAAAACCGGUCGUAGUCCGGAUCGUAGUCUGCAACUCGACUGCGUGAAGUCGGAAUCGCUAGUAAUCGUGGAUCAGCAUGUCACGGUGAAUACGUUCCCGGGUCUUGUACACACCGCCCGU
rnacentral:rRNA from 1 species